rnacentral:rRNA from 1 species
GUUUGAUCAUGGCUCAGGAUGAACGCUGGCGGCGUGCCUAAUACAUGCAAGUCGAACGAGGUGCCUUUGUAGCAAUACGAGGGUAUCCUAGUGGCGAACGGGUGAGUAACGCGCUGGUGACCUGCCCCAAAGUGUGGGAUAACAGUCCGAAAGGAUUGCUAAUACCGCAUGUGGUCUUCGGUUCUAGAAACCGAUCUCUAAAGGAGCAAUCCGCUUUGGGAGGGACCUGCGUCCCAUCAGCUAGUUGGUGAGGUAACGGCCCACCAAGGCUACGACGGGUAGGGGACCUGAGAGGGUGACCCCCCACAAUGGAACUGAAACACGGUCCAUACACCUACGGGUGGCAGCAGUAGGGAAUAUUGCACAAUGGGCGAAAGCCUGAUGCAGCAACGCCGCGUGUGCGAAGAAGGCCUUCGGGUCGUAAAGCACUUUUCUGAGAGAUGAGCAAGGACAGUAUCUCAGGAAUAAGUCUCGGCUAACUACGUGCCAGCAGCCGCGGUAAAACGUAGGAGGCGAGCGUUAUCCGGAUUCACUGGGCGUAAAGCGCGUGCAGGCGGCUCGGUAAGUUGGGCGUGAAAUCUCCUGGCUUAACUGGGAGAGGUCGUCCAAUACUACCGGGCUUGAGAGCGGUAGAGGAAGAUGGAAUUCCCGGUGUAGUGGUGAAAUGCGUAGAUAUCGGGAGGAACACCAGUGGCGAAAGCGAUCUUCUGGACCGUUUCUGACGCUCAGACGCGAAAGCUAGGGUAGUAAACGGGAUUAGAGACCCCGGUAAUCCUAGCUGUAAACGAUGCAAACUUGGCGUCGGUGGCCUUAAAACCAUCGGUGCCGAAGCUAACGCGAUAAGUUUGCCGCCUGGGGACUACGGCCGCAAGGUUAAAAC